rnacentral:rRNA from 1 species
AAUCAACGCUGGCGGCGUGCCUAACACAUGCAAGUCGAACGCGAAAGCCCCGCAAGGGGUAAGUAGAGUGGCAAACGGGUGAGUAACACGUGGGUGACCUGCCUUCGAGUGGGGGAUAACGUCCCGAAAGGGACGCUAAUACCGCAUGACAUCCUGCUUUUGAAAAAGCGGAGAUCAAAGCUGGGGAUCGCAAGACCUAGCGCUUGAAGAGGGGCCCGCACCUGAUUAGCUAGUUGGUGAGGUAACGGCUCACCAAGGCGACGAUCAGUAUCCGGCCUGAGAGGGCGGACGGACACACUGGGACGGAGACACGGCCCAGACUCCUACGGGAGGCAGCAGGGGGGAAUUGUUCGCAAUGGGCGCAAGCCUGACGACGCAACGCCGCGUGGAGGACGAAGAUCUUCGGGUCGUAAACUCCGGUCGAGCGGGACGAACGCUUCGCGGAUGAAUAAUCCGCGGAAUUGACGGUACCGCUAAAGGAAGCCCCGGCUAACUCCGUG